UACGUAGGGGGCGAGCGUUGUCCGGAAUGACUGGGCGUAAAGGGUACGUAGGCGGCCAGAUAAGUCAGAUGUGAAAGGCAUGGGCUUAACCCGUGUUAGCAUUUGAAACUGUGUGGCUUGAGUUAAGGAGAGGAAAGUGGAAUUCCUGGUGUAGCGGUGAAAUGCGUAGAUAUCAGGAGGAGUACCAGUGGCGAAGGCGACUUUCUGGACUUAAACUGACGCUGAGGUACGAAAGCGUGGGGAGCAAACAGGAUUAGAUACCCUGGUAGUCCACGCCGUAAACGAUGAGUGCUAGGUGUCGGGGGUCGAACCUCGGUGCCGGAGCUAACGCAUUAAGCACCCCGCCUGGGGAGUACGUUCGCAAGAAUGAA
rnacentral:rRNA from 1 species